UUUUUUUUAAUGAAAUCUACUCUUGAAGGUAUUUUAAUUAAUUUACACAUCAUCAAAAAUAAUUAUUAUUUUGUUGGACGAUUACAUUUUUCAUACUUGAAUAGCUUAAAUCGCUUUUAUACUUAAUUUAUAUUGCAUUUGAAUAUUCAUGUAUAUUUUUAGAUUCGGAGAGUAAUAAGAAAUCUAUUAGUUUUACUAUAAUGGAUAUUUUUUUUUUUUUCUGUCUGUGAACAACUUUUCUAUAAGAAAUCUUACUCCGAUAUAUAGAGUAUACCACUUUUC